rnacentral:rRNA from 1 species
AUUGAACGCUGGCGGCGGGCCUAACACAUGCAAGUCGAGCGAGUGGCGGACGGGUGAGUAAUGUCUGGGAAUCUGCCCGAUGGAGGGGGAUAACUACUGGAAACGGUAGCUAAUACCGCAUACCAUCGGAUGUACCCAGAUGGGAUUAGCUAGUUGGUGGGGUAAAGGCUCACCUAGGCGACGAUCCCUAGCUGGUCUGAGAGGAUGACCAGCCACACUGGAACUGAGACACGGCCCAGACUCCUACGGGAGGCAGCAGUGGGGAAUAUUGCACAAUGGGCGCAAGCCUGAUGCAGCCAUGCCGCGUGUAUGAAGAAGGCCUUCGGGUUGUAAAGUACUUUCAGCGGGGAGGCGUUACCCGCAGAAGAAGCACCGGCUAACUCCGUGCCAGCAGCCGCGGUAAUAC